ACGGUCCUAAGGUAGCGAAAUUCCUUGUCGGGUAAGUUCCGACCUGCACGAAUGGCAUAACGAUGGCCACACUGUCUCCUCCUGAGACUCAGUGAAGUUGAAGUGUUUGUGAUGAUGCAAUCUCCCCGCGGCUAGACGGAAAGACCCCAUGAACCUUUACUGUAGCUUUGCAUUGGACUUUGAACCGAUCUGUGUAGGAUAGGCGGGAGCCUGUGAAACCACAACGCCAGUUGUGGCGGAGGCGUCCUUGAAAUACCGCCCUGAUUUGUUUGAGGUUCUAACCUGGGACAGUUAUCCUGUCCGGGGACCGUGCAUGGUAGGCAGUUUGACUGGGGCGGUCUCCUCCUAAAGGGUAACGGAGGAGUGCGAAGGUACGCUAGGUACGGUCGGAAAUCGUGCUGAUAGUGCAAUGGCAAAAGCGUGCUUGACUGCGAGACCCACAAGUCGAGCAGAUACGAAAGUAGGUCAUAGUGAUCCGGUGGCUCUGUAUGGAAGGGCCAUCGCUCAACGGAUAAAAGGUACUCUGGGGAUAACAGGCUGAUACCGCCCAAGAGUUCAUAUCGACGGCGGUGUUUGGCACCUCGAUGUCGGCUCAUCUCAUCCUGGGGCUGUAGCCGGUCCCAAGGGUAUGGCUGUUCGCCAUUUAAAGAGGUACGUGAGCUGGGUUUAAAACGUCGUGAGACAGUUUUGUCCCUAUCUGCCGUGGGCGCUGGAAGAUUGACGGGGGCUGCUCCUAGUACGAGAGGACCGGAGUGGACUCACCUCUGGUGUACCGGUUGUCACGCCAGUGGCAUCGCCGGGUAGCUAUGUGGGGAAGAGAUAACCGCUGAAAGCAUCUAAGCGGGAAACUUGCCUGAAGAUAAGUCUUCCUGGAGGCUAGACCUCCCUAAAGAGUCGUUCGAGACCAGGACGUUGAUAGGAUGGGUGUGUAAGUGCUGUGAGGCACUCAGCUAACCAUUACUAAUUGCUCGUGAAGCUUGAUCCU
rnacentral:rRNA from 1 species